rnacentral:rRNA from 1 species
GAUGAACGCUGGCGGCGUGCCUAAUACAUGCAAGUCGAGCGGUAAGGCCACUUCGGUGGUACACGAGCGGCGGACGGCUGAGUAACACGUAGGAACGUACCCCAAACUGAGGGAUAAGCACCGGAAACGGGGCCUAAUACCGCAUGUGCUCUUCGGAGUAAAGCUACGGCGGUUUGGGAACGGCCUGCGCAUGAUUAGCUGGUUGGUGAGGUAAUGGCUCACCAAGGCGACGAUAAUUAGCUGGUCUGAGAGGAUGAUCAGCCAGACUGGGACUGAGAACGGCCCAGACUCCUACGGGAGGCAGCAGUAGGGAAUUUUCCACAAUGGGGGCAACCCUGAUGGAGCAACGCCGCGUGCAGGAUGAAGGCUUUCGGGUCGUAAACUGCUUUUAUCUGUGAAGAUUAUGACGGUAGCAGAUGAAUAAGGAUCGGCUAACUCCGUGCCAGCAGCCGCCGUAA